AACACACACACACACACACACCGGCUCCAUGUUUUCUAUUCCAGCCUAAUGAAGCAUAGAGAUUGUAUUUUACCUUAUAAAUCACCGUCUCCUCUCAGUUCUCUGUCUUCUCUUCUCUUCUCUUCUCUCUCUUCUCUCUCUUCUCUCUCUUCUCUCUAUUCUCUCUCUUCUCUCUCGGUUUUCUUCUGUUGGAAUAAAAACGCGUCCAGCAUCGCUCCGUCAUCUGUGCGCGUGUUUGCUGUGAGUCGGGGUGUGGAACAACACGCACACGCGUCAAGAUGCAAAGCUCUUCAUCCUUCCACCAGGAGGCAGCAGUCACUGAGGUGCUAACUGCUGCUGGAGCAGUCACAUGACCUGGUGGUGACCCUGACCCUGACCCUACCCUGACCCUGACCCUGACCUGACCCUGACCCUGACCCUCAGAGCAACAUCUGCAGCACAGUCCUCCACCAGGAAGUUCAAAUUCCUACUGCUGUAAAAUGUGUCUUGAACAUUUUUUUCUAUAACAAUAAAAUCUCUUUUUGUGAGAAA